UCUGCUGGCUUCCCGGUUAAAGUCACUCUUCUUUGGCCCAGCAACUCGCCUCUCAACUUAUUAGCCUGUGGUGUGGCGAGCAGUACAAGCUUGGACUUGGUAACAAAUUCUGAUGAAGCCACCCAGGAGCCUUGGUGCUCGUGGCCUGCCAGCCCUGGCUGGGGAAUUCUGGGGUGAGAGCCUAGCAGCUGCCGGGACCCCUCGUCCUGAGGAUCUGCCCUUCAGAGUUCUCUGAAGCAGCCCCGGCCGCCCCAGCACUUGGCAGUGGAAGGAAGGAAUCGACAUUUGGGACCCGACGGGCUCCGGACGGUAGGGAAGCCUGGAAUGCCACCGGUCCCUUCCCCCGGCUUGAUGCGAACAGCCUCACCUCCAUCUCUGGGGAGGAGACUGAUGCCUGGGGAUUUCUUCCUGGAGGGCUGCGUUUCUGUGACCACAUGCAGAUGUCGGGGGUCUGCAGAGUUCAUCCAAAGCGCUGUCUCCAAGAGCCGUGAUUCUCAUAAAAGAGCCAUAAUGAAGGCUGCCUCCUGCAAGUUCUGGAUUUGGAGCCAAGGCACAGAGAACUUAAGUAGCAGAUGGUGGGAACCAGGGCAGAAGGAGAACUCCUGAAGCCUCCGAAGGAAGGAAAUCAUUACAGGGCCCUACAGAAGUAGGUCAUGUGCUACAGCUGCUCAUAGUUUAAGAGGAAGAAACAUCGGACCUCAAACCUGGAGCACGACUCUUUCCAAAUGCUUGUGAAGCAGCCCAAGAAAAACAUCCUUCCGAGGCUUAUCUAAUAACCAGCAUCUGUAAUCGGCUCAAUGUGCGCUCAGGGGUCCUUGGAGUUUGCACCUACUUCCCAGGGCCGCGGAGAUGCUGAAACGGAAAACAGCAACAUUUAACGAAGGGGAUUUAAUAGUUUGUGUUAAAGCUGAUAUGGCCCAUUAGGGGCUGUCAUUUUUGUAAACAACGAAGACACGUUACCCUCUUCCUGGGUGUAAAGUUGCUCCGCGCCGGACCAGCAAACAUUCGGUAACGAUCUGUAGAACAUGCAGGAAAGACAAUUAAGGCGCCACUUGAAAAAGUCUGUUUUCCUCACAUAUUUGGUUUCUUGCUAAAGUAAACUCAUAAAGAUCAUACAUGUGGAAGCAUAUGCUUACAUUAUAAAAAAUAACAUGAGUGUGCAUUUCAUUAACAAAAAUCAAAGAACAGACAUCCUAUAAGUGUUUGGGGUUCCUAUAAGCUUGGGAAAUAUCAGAAGUGAUUAGUUAAAUAAAGAGCACAGUUCCUGUUCUUCAGUUCAUACUACAAUAAUAGAACGGCCACUACUUUACGGUGCUUUAGGGCACAUAAAAUUAACAGCUUACAAUGCCAUUGAAGUCAGGGUGACAACCUUUGAAAGCUGUAAAUAAAAAAGUUUCCAUAAAAUCUAUUUACUGCAGUAAUAGAAUAUUCUGCUUGCCGGGAUUCAGAUUUUGUUUUUCGGAGUUUAUUUUUGCAUUGCAGUAGGCACCAGGCAGGGACAAGAUCUUAGGAGCUGUACCCUUUCCGAGACUAACCGGAUGCACUUGAGAAAUGAAAUCUACUGGACUCUCUGACUUUGUAAGCGGAAUUUGCUAGCUUUCUGUCCCUUUUCUUUUAAAGACAAAUGACUCUUUUGGAUAGGUUUUAGGUUUAGCUGCACCUGACUAACAUUUCCUUCUGCGCACAGAGGGAAGGGUUUGGGGGUGGGGGGGGGGUUCAGAUUCAAAUUAUUCUCGUUGUUCACAGAGCCUCGAAAGCCCCCCAGUGAUGCAUUUUGAGAAGUAGCCUCGGGCAGAACUUGCUAUCAAUGAAGGCCAGGAACAAAAAAACAUUUAAAAGCAGAUUACAAAUCCCUCCUCACAAAGCAAAGUCAAAUCACUGAUCAAUAAGUGCUGCUGGGUUUAAAUUGUUUCCUUAAAAAGGCUUUAAAAACUUUUUUGAAUGAGAGGCUGGAGGCUGAACCUUUUAUGCUUUGGUGCAAGCUCCUUCUGGAAAAGUCUUUCCCAGCUCUUUCCAGCAAGGCCUCUCUUGGGACGAGCUGGAGCUGCUCUCUUUCUGCUUCACUUGGGCCCUGUGGCUGGAAAGGCUGGCAACGGGGUAUCCAAGAGAGGAAAGAUGCUCUUUGAUGUAUGUCAGGCGCUCCAAGAUAUUUUAGCUGCUCGUCACAACAGCAUAGCUGGAGUCCCCGUGGUCACCUAGGAACACUUUGUGAAAUGUCCAAACUCGGUGGCUAGGAUUGCUAUAAACUCAACUUGGAACCUGAAGAAAAAUUUCAACGAAAAAAGGCCCCAGGGGGUUUCCCUGGUGGCGCAGUGGUUAAGAAUCCGCCUGCCAGUUCAGGGGACCCGGGUUCGAGCCCUGGCCCGGGAAGAUCCCACAUGCCGCGGAGCAACUAAGCCCGUGCGCUGCAACUACUGAGCCUGCUCUCUAGAGCCCGCGAGCCACAACUACUGAAGCCCGCCCACCUAGAGCCCGUGCUCCUCAACGAGAGAAGCCACGAGAAUGGGAAGCCUGUGCACUGCAACAAAGACCCAACAGGCCCCCAAAAAUAAAAACAAACAAAUAAAUAAAUUUAUUUAAAAAAAAGGCCCCAGACUCUUAGGUCACUUCAGCUACAAAAAAGCACUGGCUAGAUUGUGGCUCGUUAUCUAGAUCAAGGUCAUGUGGAGGAUGCAGAGGGGUACCUCGCAGUGUCAUACGUGACUCAGAUGCCUGCUCUUUUAGGGACUAGAUUCAAACGGCUUUUAAAAACAAGGGGAGAGAGAAAAGCGAGAAAACCAAUGAACAAGUGGGGUUCAGUUUAGUCACACAUGUUCCAAAUGGCACAGAAAUAAGCAAAAAAGAGUUCUGGUACAUUUUUUUAAAUGAUUUCAUUAUCGCCAGACAAGAAAGAUUGUCCAGAUGCUAUUGGAAAGAUAGAAACAUGAGAUUAAAUUUUAAAAAUAAUAAUACCACAAAUGUUUUCUUGCCCCUGUAAACAGCCGACGUAUGUGAUCUUUGAAGUUAGGCCGAUUUGUAAAUCAGUUUAUAAAAAUGGAAGGUUGCGAUUAGGUAGAAACGUUUGCUCUUGGCCUGGCCCUCUGGUUUUCUCUGUGGACAUCACUCGGCCCGGGAGGAUGGUCGUUUUAGCAGAAUAAGUGGGGUAACCAGAUGGUGGGAGGCUCCGCUCAUACACCCCUCACCAGGCUGAGUGGUGGUGGAGGAGGGUGCUGCCUGGCGGGGCCCCUCAGACGGCCCGUGUCACACACACAAGUGUGAGUCACCGGUGGGGACGUCCCAUCCCAAGAACCAGCGCUUGGGCUGCAGACGAGCUCCUUCCCAGCGUCCUACUUGACUCAAAGGACGCCCUCCUUUCUCCCCGGCUCCUCUCCCCAUAAUAUUCACCUUGAAGCAAUGCACCUGCACUAUUGCAAAGCCCUGCCCUGCCUCGUGUGAAGAAAGCUCUUCCUUCUCUGAGGUUCCUGUAUUGCUUGUGUGGAAAUGAUUUACUGCCUAGAAAACGGAGGCGUUAUCUCUUUACCGCUGUGGGUGCGUCAUCUUUCUAAGAAGAUGUUAAGCUUCCUGAAGGUGAGGAUUACAAAGUCUCUGGAAGCCUGCUCAGGGCUGCGAUGGCCCAGUUGCUCAGUAAAAAUCGGUCUAUUACUGGAUGGUCGGUAGCGAAGGUGAAAAUAGAUGCAAAAUGAACCUGCCUCGGUAGGUGCGCAAUGAGGUUGAACUCUCAUCCGCGGACUCAAAGCCUGCUCAGUGAGGGGACUUUCGCAAGCACCCCUCGAAGCCCCCUCUCUCUACGGAGUGAUGGCAGCGAAGUCAGCGUCCGUUUCACAGAAAUCCCCCGGGAGUGUGAAUUUCAGUCCGUCCCGGGAUUCCAGUAGAGGCUUCCGGCCGCGCAGCCAUUUCACUCUGUUGAGCUAAGACCUUCCAUUAUCUGGUAAAAGGAGUCACACUCUCGUUUUCCUGAAAGUACUUGAGUUGUUACACAGAACGGACCAUUCUCAUCUCCUGGCGGCAUGACAGUUAGUUCCAGGGCCUCAGCCUUUAUUCCUUCCGCAGGACAAAUGCUGAAGGUCACGCUGUUUCGGGGCCAGUUAUCUGACCUACUCGCAACCCCAGGAAAAUUUCUCCAGCAACAGUCUUGUUUCCUAACGUCGUAAAUAAUCUCUCUACACAAAAAUGUACAUGAACACAAUAAAAAUCAAUACAGAUACCUGGGCUUCACAGUAGAAAAUCUUCAGUGGAUACUUGCAAAUUAGGGUCUCAAAAUUCUAACAGCAUCCAUUGGUCUUUUCACUUAUAGGUCUUUAAAUUUUACCAAAGGGACCUAUUUCUUAUUUCCGGAAAUGGAAACAGACACCCUACGUAGAGAUGUGUUUAUUCUAUGAAGCGUUGGUCACGGGGCUGCCCGUGCACCCCAAAACUUUUGCCUUUGCUCUUGGGGUGGCUUGCAGGGCGAGGCUCUCAUCCAUUAACUAUGUCAGCUAAUUGAUGUGCCACUCAAGUCUUCUGUGUGUCGUACAAAUCACAUUGUAAAGAGGCAAAUUAAUCUUUUGUUCAAAAACAAUUCACGAAAUAACCUAAUACGCGCAAAUACAACUGGCGGAAAAGCUACCCGUAAAGCACAUCAGUCUGAAUGCGAUCCUGAUCAGCAUUCCUUUGUGUCGAUAACUGGCCCCGUUGACACAGCUGGACCACUGUGUCCCUCAGGGGUUCGUUACCUGUUUAAAGGCAGGGUCGUCCCCGGAUUACCACAGUCUCAGGCAAUGCACACGUAUCCACUGAUGGGGGAGUGGAAAUGUAAAAUGUAAAUGAGCGCUUGGGUCUUCUCUCUGUCAGAUGCCGGUUGAUUUUCUGCUAAAUGGUUGUGCUUUGGAGAUCUUACAAGUAGAGGCUGAACACACCUCCUUGUAGUGGGUCUCACUUUGACUAAUCUUUGGUUUGGGCAACUGCCUCUAAGCGGCUUCAGGGAGAACAUAUACAAAGCGAGCGUAUGACGUGAAAAUGCCCUGUGGCUGCUGGAGCGCUUCUACCUGAUUUGAAAGUCGCUCCUUCCACCAUCAUUUAUCCUCCUGGAAUGACCUGCCUUGCUCUCCACGAGUUCUACCCAGACAGACACCACGUUCUCACCAACCCCAGCUCCCUUUCAUUGCUGACCAGCUCGUUCUGGCCUGGAAACUUUUUCCUGUGUCUUUCAGUCUCCCCAGCCUGUACCCUUUUACCCUUUCCCAAAAUGACUGUUUCAAGUUUUCAUGUAAGUAAAAAGUCUGGUAAGCGACUGGUAAGCACUGCUUAAAUAACCGUUGUGAAAUAAAAAUUAUUUCAUCAAACUUGGCAUGACUUUUCUGAUGACGAGCUAUGUUAUUCAAUUUACUACAUUUCUAGGAGCUCUCCGAAUUAGCUCCAACGUACAUCUGGUCCCUCCACUUUCCGAGGUCCUCUCGGUUCUUAAAUACUCAGGUGUCCAGCUUGUACCACAUUCAUCUUCUGAUCUGGAACACAAGCUGCGUGCGUGCCUGCGUGCUCGGCGGUGAAUGUUAAAUUUGUGGACCCCAUGAAUUCCUGCAGGAGGACAAGAAUAUGUCCUUUAUCGUCAUCUUUUUCUCCUUCUUUUUUCAUCAUGAGUCCCAGUUAUCACCGAACAUCUACAGUCACAGAAGUCCUUCAGUAAAUGUCAAAUUACUGGCAACUUUUUUAGGCAAAAUUCUCGUGACUUCAAUAACAACAUUGCCUGGGAAGAAAGCUAGGAUACAGCAGCCUAGUUCUGGACUAAUUCAGUCUACAGCAUGCACGUGUAAUAAGAAAGCCUGAUUUAAAAAAAAAAAGAAUUAAUCAAGAAAAUGAGUAGUUUUAACUGUAAAUUUUCUUCCAUAUACAAUUUCUAAUUCUAAAUAGGUUUUGAAAUGGAUAACAGCAUGGUUUGUUAUCAGGUAAUGUCUCAAGUUUAGUUGAAGAAUUUUUUGUGUGUGUUCUAGGAGGGUCAUUCAAUGUUUACCAAAGAUAUCACUUGAUUAUUUUAUUUUUUCUUAUAAGUAUGGAUAGGUUUUUAAUUCCAUUUUUUCUCUUAAAACUCUCUUGUCUAGGAAUUGGACUAUUACACACACAAAAAUGUUAGAACAGAAACAAAGGGUAUCACUAUUUUUCUUACAUUUAAGACAACUUAUUUCACUCGGAAAUAAAGAAUUUCUGCAUGCAUAAAAGAUCAGAAAAGAGAAGAGUGGAGUCAUCCACGAGGGCGAGGUGGAGGGAAUGAGUUUCCAUCAGAUAUCCUGGGAAGGCUUUUGAAUUUGAGUUUUGAAAUUCAUGCAGAUGUAUUGACACAAAGGCCCAUUAGAGAGUUACCAGCGUGCUGUGGCUUAACCAUUCGGGCGACAGCUUCUGUGUCUAGCAAGGGAGGGAAGACACAAACUCUGAAUGAAGGAGGGCGCGGGCUACGAUUCAUGCACGGAGAGAUUUCUGUAGGGGGAUCUCUGCAAGCUUCGGUCCAUUAUCGCAAGUUCUACGGGGACACCUAGUAAAAUCUCCAUGAACUGGUAACAAACCCAUCUCCUGGUACAUCUGAUGCCAUGGUAUUUACCUAGUAGUCACAGCAAAAGGAAAAACAACGUACUCUUCUUUUCCCAAGUAUAAGCAAGUGAAUGAAAAUCGAAAUCAUCCAAAUUGUGCCUCAAAAAGGCAUACUCUGAUAGAAACAGUGGAAACUGCCUAGUCUGUUGUCUGAAUUAAAUACAAAUUUAUACACCCAAGUGACUAAAAUAAUGAAAGUGAUAGAUUAGUGUAUUGCUGCUUGAUCACUGUCUACAAUGCAGAACUUAUGAGCAGCCUGAUUUUGAGAACAAUUACUUGUAAUUAAAGCUGUGCGGGUUACCAAAAAAAAAAAAAAAAAAUAGAGAAGUCCUUUGUGUAUAACACCAAUUAAUUACUUUUUUUUUCAGUGAGAAUAGCUCAAGUAUCUCUGCUGCUAUUUAUAUCUGACCACAUCAGGAGUGGUGGGGAUAGGAAAUACGCCUUGCUUAGCAGCAUUCUUGGGAUGUGAUUUGCAACUCACGCUUCUC